rnacentral:piRNA from 1 species
UAGCAAAGCUGAGUACGAAAGGACUGGG